rnacentral:rRNA from 1 species
UGAACGCUAGCGGCAGGCUUAACACAUGCAAGUCGAGGGGCAUCGCGGGUAGCAAUACCUGGCGGCGACCGGCGAAAGGGUGAGUAACGCGUGAGCAACAUGCCCGAUACUGGGGGAUACUCCAUGGAAACGUCGCGUAAUACCCCGUAACACACGGGACCGCAUGGUUCUUUGUUGAAAGAUUGAUUGGUAUCGGAUUGGCUCGCGUGCCAUUAGCUAUAUGGCGGGGUAACGGCCCACCAUGGCGACUAUGGCUAGGGGUUCUGAUAGGAAGGUCCCCCACAUUGGAACUGAGACACGGUCCAUACUCCUACGGGAGGCANCAGUGAGGAAUAUUGGACAAGGGCCGGAAGGCUGAUCCANCCAUGCCGCCUGCCGGAAGAANGCCCUAUGGGUUGUAAACCNGUUUUGGCGGGGGAGGAAUAAGGUCCNNGCCUGGACUGAAUAAAAUACUCGGUCAAAUUUACAUUUGGGAAAUGAUGUGACGUAAAAGAGCGGGUGAAUAUGUGUUUAUUUUGCGGGGUACCCACACCUCCCCGCCCUCCCC